rnacentral:misc_RNA from 1 species
AUCAUUAUAUUACACGACGACUGCUGGAAUACUACGGAGAAAUGGAAGGUGGUCCCACAAAAUCCGAUAUUCAGAUGAUUUUCAAGCGUCUACGUUCGAUUCCUACGAAUAAAAUAUGCUUUGACUGUAAUAGUAAAAACCCAACCUGGGCUAGUGUCACGUAUGGUGUAUUCCUCUGUAUAGACUGUUCAGCCACCCACAGAUCACUUGGUGUUCAUUUAACAUUUAUCAGAUCAACUCAAUUAGAUACGUCAUGGACAUGGCCUCAAUUGCGUGCAAUGCAAGUUGGAGGAAAUGCAAAUGCAGUCGCUUACUUCAGACAGCAUGGAGCUUCGACCAAUGACGCUCAAGCUAAGUACAACAGCAGAGCAGCCACGCUCUACAAGUCAAAGAUCAAGGAACUCGUAGCAGCCGCCAUUAGAAAAUAUGGCAAAGAGCUUCAUCUGGAGGACUUUGUUCAGUCGCCCCAGCAGAAGGAAGUAGAUUUCUUUGAGGAGCAUGCCGAUGAAGCGCCCUCUAACAUCACGCCCAUCCCUGCAGGUACAAGCAAUGGACGGUUAUCAAGCAAUCCAGAACCGCUCAAAGUUCCUGCACCAUCAGCCUCUCCAAAACCAGCCCCCGAAGAAUCAGUAGGUGCACCUAACGUUGAAGCUGCUCUCAGUACGUCGCCCUCUCAGGUCAAAGUAGAACCAAGGAAACCCACUAUAGGACAGAGGAAACCUGCAAGCGCAAAGAAAGGGCUUGGUGUGAGAAAAGGCAAAGGUCUCGGAGCUCAGAAGGUCAAAGCAAACUUUGAUGAUAUAGAAUCUCAGGCUCAGCAACAGGAUAAGAUGAGGGAAGAGAACGCCAAGAUGGCAGAGCUUCAGAAAGCCAAGACGAAAGAAGAGGAAGAAGCCAGGAUGGCAUCCAUGCGUCUUGCCUACAAGGACAUGUCAGUCGAGAUGAAGAAACAGGAGGAGAAAUUGAAGAAAGAAAAUCCAAACAAAGCCAAACAGAUGGAACGCCUUGGAAUGGGUUAUACUGGAAGAGGUGGAGUAUCACAUUCAGCCAUGAACGAUAUGCAGACCAUUGAACAGGUCAACCCGGUCAAAUCAGGCAGUGGAAGCAGUCGGUCAAGAUCCAGGGAUUUCUUUGAUGAUUAUGACACCGGCUUUUCACGUAGUUCAUCUUCCUCAUCGAGAGGUUUCAAGGAUUCCAGCACCGCCUCAUUCUGGGAUGACAAAGACGAUCAGAAAACAGAUUCCAGCUGGGAUAUUAUCGACAAGAGUGAGACGAGACAAAGCAGUUAUGAUAGUAUCGCCCCUUUAGAAUCAAGCAUGAGAGCCAGUCUGGCCGGUUCUCAAACUCGCAAUCCAUAUCAAGCGACGACUUCUUCGGGAGGUCAGCGACGAGGGGGCCCUCCGGGGCUGAUCUGGGGGCCAUAAAGGACGGCAUGAAGGACGGCGUCAAUCAGGUCGCCGGCAAGCUGUCCCGUAUGGCCAACGGGCUCGUCAACUCUAUACAGGAUCAUUAUGGAUAUUGAUAACAACAUGUCUAGUGUAGUAUACCCUCAUCCAAGUGUCUUUAUGCUCCAA